rnacentral:rRNA from 1 species
GAACCUUACCUGGGUUUGACAUGCACAGGACGCCGGCAGAGAUGUCGGUUCCCUUGUGGCCUGUGUGCAGGUGGUGCAUGGCUGUCGUCAGCUCGUGUCGUGAGAUGUUGGGUUAAGUCCCGCAACGAGCGCAACCCUUGUCUCAUGUUGCCAGCACGUGAUGGUGGGGACUCGUGAGAGACUGCCGGGGUCAACUCGGAGGAAGGUGGGGAUGACGUCAAGUCAUCAUGCCCCUUAUGUCCAGGGCUUCACACAUGCUACAAUGGCCGGUACAAAGGGCUGCGAUGCCGUGAGGUGGAGCGAAUCCUUUCAAAGCCGGUCUCAGUUCGGAUCGGGGUCUGCAACUCGACCCCGUGAAGUCGGAGUCGCUAGUAAUCGCAGAUCAGCAACGCUGCGGUGAAUACGUUCCCGGGCCUUGUCACACCGA